rnacentral:rRNA from 1 species
GGGCCCGCACAAGCGGUGGAGUAUGUGGUUUAAUUCGAUGCAACGCGAAGAACCUUACCAGGGUUUGACAUCCUGCGAAUCUCUUGGAAACAGGAGGGUGCCUUCGGGAACGCAGUGACAGGUGGUGCAUGGCUGUCGUCAGCUCGUGUCGUGAGAUGUUGGGUUAAGUCCCGCAACGAGCGCAACCCACGUCUUUAGUUGCCAGCAUUUAGUUGGGCACUCUAGAGAGACUGCCUGCGCAAGCAGAGAGGAAGGCGGGGACGACGUCAAAUCAUCAUGGCCUUUAUGCCCAGGGCUACACACGUACUACAAUGCUACGGACAAAGGGCAGCAAGUUCGCGAGGACAAGCAAAUCCCAUAAACCGUGGCUCAGUUCAGAUCGUAGGCUGCAACUCGCCUACGUGAAGGCGGAAUCGCUAGUAAUCG